AGCCUGAAUCAGUGUGUGUGUUAGUGGAAGCGUCUGGAAAGGCGUGCGAUACAGGGUGACAGCCCCGUACACAAAAAUGCACAUAUUGUGAGCUUGAUGAGUAGGGCGGGACACGUGGUAUCCUGUCUGAAUAUGGGGGGACCAUCCUCCAAGGCUAAAUACUCCUGACUGACCGAUAGUGAACCAGUACCGUGAGGGAAAGGCGAAAAGAACCCCGGCGAGGGGAGUGAAAAAGAACCUGAAACCGUGUACGUACAAGCAGUGGGAGCACGCUUAGGCGUGUGACUGCGUACCUUUUGUAUAAUGGGUCAGCGACUUAUAUUCUGUAGCAAGGUUAACCGAAUAGGGGAGCCGAAGGGAAACCGAGUCUUAACUGGGCGUUAAGUUGCAGGGUAUAGACCCGAAACCCGGUGAUCUAGCCAUGGGCAGGUUGAAGGUUGGGUAACACUAACUGGAGGACCGAACCGACUAAUGUUGAAAAAUUAGCGGAUGACUUGUGGCUGGGGGUGAAAGGCCAAUCAAACCGGGAGAUAGCUGGUUCUCCCCGAAAGCUAUUUAGGUAGCGCCUCGUGAAUUCAUCUCCGGGGGUAGAGCACUGUUUCGGCA
rnacentral:rRNA from 1 species